rnacentral:tRNA from 1 species
UGGGGGAUCGUCUAGCGGCAGGACAACGGACUCUGACUCCGUUAACCUAGGUUCGAAUCCUAGUCCCCCAGCCA